rnacentral:snoRNA from 13 species
CUGCAGCUAAUUAAGCUGACCAGCUCUCUUGCUUCAUGGUCGCCUGGUGUGCAAUGGCUGCAGACAGCAGCCUCCUUGGUAGUGUAUGCAACCUGUUGCUUGUAUGGGUUGCUCUAAGGGACCUUGGAGACAGUC